UCUGUGACACGCUCGGAAGAGCAGAGCUUCUCUGUGAAUCAAGAGCUCCUUCUGUUGGCAACGAAGUCUCAUGAGCCUUAAAAGUGGAGGUUCACUUCAGCCUCGAGGGAAACUUACAGGAACGUGGCUGUCAUGCCCAGAGGAGAAGCAACCAUCUUGCAACUAGGAGGAAGAACGGCAUAUAUUAAGGAUAGCGGAAAAGGAAACCCAAAAGACUCUGUGUUUUGUGGUGACUUUCUUGGGCAGCUGCACCUGUUCUGAAAUGCAUAUCUCCAGACUUUUUAUUUCAUAGAAGAAAAAUUGAAUUCUCUAUGUGGCUAAGUCACUGCAAUCGGGUUUCUACAUUUAGAUAGAUAUAAUCCUGACACCCCAUCCUUCAAAGCUAAAUUCAAAUGCUACAUAAAUUAUGAAGGCGACCACAGUCGUCUAAAUCUAA